GAGAUCAGAGGUGGGGCCCUGAUGCUCCACAACCAGGUGGGGAAGGGGAGGGGGGGAAAGCACCCAAGCCCCUCCCCAGAAGCAGCCCCUCUUGGGCAAACCCCCUGGGCAGAGGGGGCUCCGGCCCCUGCUCUGGUUCCCCAAAGA